UACGUAGGUGGCAAGCGUUGUCCGGAUUUAUUGGGUUUAAAGGGUGCGUAGGCGGUUCUAUAAGUCAGUGGUGAAAUCCGGCAGCUCAACUGUCGAUGUGCCAUUGAUACUGCAGAACUUGAGUACAGACGAGGUAGGCGGAAUUGACGGUGUAGCGGUGAAAUGCUUAGAUAUCGUCAAGAACACCGAUAGCGAAGGCAGCUUACUAGACUGUAACUGACGCCGAUGCACGAAAGUGUGGGGAUCAAACAGG
rnacentral:rRNA from 1 species